GGAACAAAAUGGAACGACCCAUCUAGGUCAUCCCCUUUUAUUGGGUAGCCGGCACGCACUGCUUUAGUUUGUGGUAUGCAGUGGGACAACCCAUGUGAGUCGACCCCUGAGAUCCUAAGACCAAAACAGAGAGCUCAUUUUCUAUCUGGCCAAAUGAGGCAUCCCAUGGGACGUCCCAUUGCCAGUGAGGCAUCCAAUGAGACAUCCUAUUCUGGACG
rnacentral:lncRNA from 1 species